AACGCGAAGAACCUUACCAGGUCUUGACAUCCCCUGACAACCCUAGAGAUAGGGCGUUCCCCUUUCGGGGACAGGGUGACAGGUGGUGCAUGGUUGUCGUCAGCUCGUGUCGUGAGAUGUUGGGUUAAGUCCCGCAACGAGCGCAACCCUUGACCUUAGUUGCCAGCAUUCAGUUGGGCACUCUAAGGUGACUGCCGGCUAAAAGUCGGAGGAAGGUGGGGAUGACGUCAAAUCAUCAUGCCCCUUAUGACCUGGGCUACACGCGUGCUACAAUGGGUGGUACAAAGGGCAGCGAAACCGCGAGGUGGAGCGAAUCCCAAAAAACCACUCUCAGUUCGGAUUGCAGGCUGCAACUCGCCUGCAUGAAGCCGGAAUCGCUAGUAAUCGCGGAUCAGCAUGCCGCGGUGAAUACGUUCCCGGGUCUUGUACACACCG
rnacentral:rRNA from 1 species